GCAGGUGCCCUAGCUCAGUCACAGAGUAUCUGCUCAGUAUGCAGAAGGUCCCAGGUUCAAUCCCUGCCAUUGGCC